GACGAACGCUGGCGGCGUGCCUAAUACAUGCAAGUUGAACGCUGAAGACUGGUACUUGUACUAGACGCAAGAGUAGCGAACGGGUGAGUAACGCGUGGGUAACCUACCUCUUAGCGGGGGACAACUAUUGGAAACGAUAGCUAAUACCGCAUAAUAAUUUUUAACACAUGUUAGGAAUUUGAAAGUACCAACUGGUACACUAAGAGAUGGACCCGCGUUGUAUUAGCUAGUUGGUAGUGUAAUGGACUACCAAGGCGAUGAUACAUAGCCGACCUGAGAGGGUGAUCGGCCACAUUGGGACUGAGACACGGCCCAAACUCCUACGGGAGGCAGCAGUAGGGAAUCUUCGGCAAUGGACGAAAGUCUGACCGAGCAACGCCGCGUGAGUGAAGAAGGUUUUCGGAUCGUAAAACUCUGUUGUUAGAGAAGAACAGGAGAAGUAGUAACUGGCUUCUUUUUGACGGUAUCUAACCAGAAAGCCACGGCUAACUACGUGCCAGCAGCCGCCGUAAAAC
rnacentral:rRNA from 1 species